CGACCUCAGAUCAGGUGGGACUCCCCGCCGAAUUUAAGCAUAUUAGUAAGCGGAGGAAAAGAAACUAACAAGGAUUCCCUUAGUAGCUGCGAGCGAAGAGGGAAGAGCCCAGCACUGAAUCCCAAGGGCCUCGCUCUUAGGGAGAUGUGGUGUUUGGGAGUGCCCGUUUAACCCGGGGUCCGUGCACCCAGUUCAAGUCCAUCUUGAACGGGGCCACGGUCCGUAGAGGGUGCCAGGCCCGUAGAUGACGGGUGCCGGCCUCGGGUGGGUAUCUCCUUAGAGUCGGGCUGCUUGAGAGUGCAGCCCUAAGCGGGUGGUAAACUCCAUCUAAGGCUAAAUACUGCCACGAGACCGAUAGAGAACAAGUACCGUGAGGGAAAGUUGAAAAGAACUUUGAAGAGAGAGUUCAAGAGUACGUGAAACCGCUCAGGGGUAAACGGAUAAGACCCGAAACACCGAAAAGGGAGAUUCACGUCUCCACGCGUGUGGCGGCCCGCGCUCUGGGAGACGGCCUGCUGCCCGCCCGGUUCGUCCGUGGCGGCGAGCAGGUCGCUCCCGGCGCGGCGUUUCGCCCCGCGGGGGACCGCACUUCUCCCCCAGUAGGACGUCGCGACCCGCUCUGCGACGGUCUAACGGCCGGUAGAAAGCCUGACCGGGGCCCUUCCCUUCGGGGUCGGGUUCCCGGUCAGAUCUCCGUAGCCGCGGCCGUCGGUCACGGGGCGGUAUGAAACGAUUCGGCGCUGGGCCGCUCCCUGGGAGCGCCUCUGUGUCCUCGCAAGCCCGUCGCCGAGCUCUCGGGUCGUGCCCUCGCGGGUACGCCCGGACCCGGCGCGGACUGUUGGCGGGUGUACACUCGGGCCGUGUCCGGCACGCCAGUCGGCGGCGCUUCAGAUUCGGGUACUUAUCCGACCCGUCUUGAAACACGGACCAAGGAGUCUAGCGUGUGCGCGAGUCAUUGGGUGAAAAACCUAAAGGCGAAAUGAAAGUAUCAGAGUUCCGCUACGCGGUUCUCUUUGGGAAGAUGGGCGUCCUAACCGGCGCCCCGCACUCCCGGGGCGUCUCAUUCUCGUCUCGAGUCGAGACGCACCAGGAGCGUACACGCUGGUACCCGAAAGAUGGUGAACUAUGCCUGGCCAGGACGAAGCCAGGGGAAACCCUGGUGGAGGUCCGAAGCGAUUCUGACGUGCAAAUCGAUCGUCUGAGCUGGGUAUAGGGGCGAAAGACCAAUCGAACCAUCUAGUAGCUGGUUCCCUCUGAAGUUUCCCUCAGGAUAGCUGGCUCUCGCGUGAGACGAGUCUCAUCCGGUAGAGCGAAUGAUUAGAGGUGAUGGGGUCGAAACGACUUCAACCUAUUCUCAAACUCCCAAUAGAUGAGAGCCCCGGCUUGCUUGAAUGUGAAGCCGCGGGACUCGGAUCAGAGGGCCAAGUGGGCCAAUUUUGGUAAGCAGAACUGGCGCUGUGGGAUGAACCAAACGCGGAGUUAAGGCGCCUGAUUCGACGCUCAUAUGAAACCAUGAAAGGCGUUGGUUGCUUAAGACAGCAGGACGGUGGCCAUGGAAGUCGGAAUCCGCUAAGGAGUGUGUAACAACUCACCUGCCGAAGCAACUAGCCCUGAAAAUGGAUGGCGCUGUAGCGUCGUGCCUAUACUCCGCCGUCAACGGCAAAGCUGGCGUCCCUUCAAACCGGGGAUAAGCCGUUACGCCUUGACGAGUAAGAGGGUCGCGGCGGUGUGCGCGGAAGGGUCUGGGCGUAAGCCCGCCUGGAGCCGCCGCCGGUGCAGAUCUUGGUGGUAGUAGCAAAUACUCCAGCGAGGCCCUGGAGGACUGAUGUGGAGAAGGGUUUCUUGUGAACAGCUGUUGCACAAGAGUCAGUCGAUCCUAAGCCCUAGGAGAAAUCCGAAGCGAUGGUAUGCCGUUAUGACUUUGAAAUAUAUGUGAGAGAAGAAUAAAAUUAGACGAAACGGUAUUUACGCAGCGCGGACGAGGGAAAAAGUUAGAAAAGAAGGAAUCGAGAGCCUUAGCCGCUUUCUUCCCUAUUUUUUUUUUCCCGUCCUGUCCGCCUGUAUCGUAUCUUUCGUUUAGUUUUUUUUACUUUUCUUUCGUUAUCUAAGAGUCGGCACCUUCUGGGCGAAAGGGAAUCCGGUUCCUAUUCCGGAACCCGGCAGCGGAACCGCUCCAAUUCGGGCCCUCUUCCGAGGACUCGUCGGGGUGACCCGAAAUGACCCGGAGAAGCCGUAGGGAGGUCCGGGGAGAGUUGUCUCUUCUCUAUAAGCGUUCGAGUUCCCUGGAAUCCUCUAGGAGGGAGAUAGGGUUUGGAACGCGAAGAGCACCGCACUUACGGCGGUGUCCGGAUCUUCCCCUCGGACCUUGAAAAUCCGGGCGAGGGCCACGAGGAACACCGCGCCGGCUCGUACCCAUAUCCGCAGCAGGUCUCCAAGGUGAAUAGCCUCUAGUCGAUAGAACAAUGUAGGUAAGGGAAGUCGGCAAACCCGAUCUGUAACU
rnacentral:rRNA from 1 species